rnacentral:rRNA from 1 species
UGAAGAACGCAGCCAACUGUGUGAAUUAAUGUGAACUGCAUACUGCUUUGAACAUCGACAACUUGAACGCAUAUUGCGGCCAUGGGUUAGCCUGUGGCCACGCCUGUCCGAGGGUCGGCUUAUAAACUAUCACGACGCCCAAAAAGUCGUGGCUUGAGAUUUGCCAGCUGGCGUGAUUUCCCCUAUUUGGUUUCGGCCAGAAGUGGGGUGCCAGAUCUAUGGCGUUUCUCCAAUGUAUCCGACGCAACCACAACUUGGCCGAUUGCCUUGAUGAGGAUGCGGCGACGGAGUCGUGGCUCAAUAUGAUGCGCGCUCUGUUGUAGCGUCUUUGUCUCGGUGGCAGCUUAAGAAGUGGCAAUGCAUCGAUGUGACCUUACAUAGAUGUGCCUUUGGUACGUCAUUUUCCUGACCUCGGAUCAGACGUGAUUACCCGCUGAA